rnacentral:lncRNA from 1 species
GGGACGCCACAUGCAUCAUUCGCAUACAUCCAUGUUUUUCAUUGGUUGCAUUGCUCAUUGCAUUCUUUCCUUGAAAAAAAAAUGAACUUAAUCAUUGUUAUCAAAAAGAAAAGAACACACUUUAUGGUGCCCUUGCCGAACUCGUGCUAGAGCUAGAGUAAUGGGUGAAGUAGAUGAGGUGCAAGAGCAGAUGAAGGCCGACAUGG